AAGAAAGAUUUUGCACAGCCAUUUCUUUCUUACUUCCCAUCCUAAUUGAUCGGCACUGGGUGUUUUUCAGUGAUGUUCACAGGAAAAGAAACUACUUCAUGAUGUGUGUGAUGUCCAUUAAUUCUUUUUUCCUAUUUCAAGUCUUUUGCAAUGGAGAUCAGGGAUCCUGAGAGAAAGAGGCAUCCGUCAAAUCUCUCGCAAGAACUGUUUUUCAGUGGGAUCUCUCAGGAAGAUCCAAAUCAGGACACCUCAGGAGGGAAGAAUAGAAGGAAUUUGACUCUUGAGGGAGCGGAAACUAAGACUGAACCUCCAACUCAGGAGGGUCUUCUGCC